rnacentral:rRNA from 1 species
UACGUAGGUGGCGAGCGUUGUCCGGAUUUACUGGGCGUAAAGAGCGCGCAGGCGGUCGUGCAAGUCGCGUGUGAAAGCCCCCGGCUCAACUGGGGAGGGUCACGCGAUACUGCUCGACUCGAAGGCAGGAGAGGGAAGUGGAAUUCCCGGUGUAGUGGUGAAAUGCGUAGAUAUCGGGAGGAACACCAGUGGCGAAGGCGACUUCCUGGCCUGU